UGUACAUAUUGUUGUCCAUCCAUAAAAUGUGGGACGUCAAAUAUCUCAAUCUUAAAUUCCAAGAAAUCUCAUCAUCUUUCCUGCCAACAGCAGAAGCCGCAGUUCAAACGGCAGGAGAAGCUCUUGCUCCGGCUUCAUAGCGUACGUGUGUGCCUGCCCGCUUCUCCGGAAAGAUUACAAAGUGCCGUUGUGU
ensembl:ncRNA K12F2.5 ncRNA